AAUGGCAGAGGACGGAAGGGGCAGCCGUCACCGGAUUGCAUAGGCAUGAGUAGGAGAUGCGGGAACUGUCAACCCGCCUGCCAUU
rnacentral:ncRNA from 1 species